CAGUCGAACGAGCGAGAGAGAGCUUGCUUUCUCGAGCGAGUGGCGAACGGGCGAUUAACGCGUGAGGAACCUGCCUCAAAGAGGGGGACAACAGUUGGAAACGACUGCUAAUACCGCAUAAGCCCACGGGUCGGCAUCGACCAGAGGGAAAAGGAGCAAUCCGCUUUGAGAUGGCCUCGCGUCCGAUUAGCUGGUUGGUGAGGUAACGGCCCACCAAGGCGACGAUCGGUAGCCGGACUGAGAGGUUGAACGGCCACAUUGGGACUGAGACACGGCCCAGACUCCUACGGGAGGCAGCAGUGGGGAAUAUUGCACAAUGGGGGAAACCCUGAUGCAGCGACGCCGCGUGGAGGAAGAAGGUCUUCGGAUUGUAAACUCCUGUUGUUGAGGAAGAUAAUGACGGUACUCAACAAGGAAGUGACGGCUAACUACGUGCCAGCAGCCGCGGUAAAACGUAGGUCACAAGCGUUGUCCGGAAUUACUGGGUGUAAAGGGAGCGCAGGCGGGAAGACAAGUUGGAAGUGAAAUCCAUGGGCUCAACCCAUGAACUGCUUUCAAAACUGUUUUUCUUGAGUAGUGCAGAGGUAGGCGGAAUUCCCGGUGUAGCGGUGGAAUGCGUAGAUAUCGGGAGGAACACCAGUGGCGAAGGCGGCCUACUGGGCACCAACUGACGCUGAGGCUCGAAAGUGUGGGUAGCAAACAGGAUUAGAUACCCUGGUAGUCCACACCGUAAACGAUGAUUACUAGGUGUUGGAGGAUUGACCCCUUCAGUGCCGCAGUUAACACAAUAA
rnacentral:rRNA from 1 species